CCAGCGAGAACCAGAUGAGAACCAGGAAGUAUUUCCCCCACCACGUAAAUGCGAUUGGCUUCUGGGUUUGGGGCAUGGUGAUUUUUGUGUGGUUUGGUUUGGUUUGGGGCCUUCCCUCCAGACACUGGGAUGCCCCUGCAGUUUCGACUUACGACGCUUGAUGCGAUGCGACACCAUGCCAGCAAACAAGUUCGCUGUGUCAUUCAUCUCCCUGGAGAACAUCUGACCACACUUGCUUGGACGCUUUCUUUAAGAAAGCAGACAAGACUCCAGAAAAACUUGCAGCCAAGACUCCUGAGAAGACUCCAGACACAAGCCCGUCAACAAGUCCAACCAAGAGCCUGUCAGCAAGUCUAGCAAAGUCACCUCAAAGAAGUCUGGCCAUAUCAAUAUGAUUGCUAUUUACAAUAGAAAUAUAUUAAUGUAGCUAUAUUACUCAUCUAUAAUUGAUCGAGUACAAAAUUCUGGGGUAUUUUGGGGUAUCGGGCCUUGGUUCAGAAACCAAUCCCCUAUUUAUAACAUUGUUUCUUAUGAGAAAAUUGGUUCCAAGUUACAACGUUUCGACUUAAGACCCGGUUUUCAGGAACCAAUUGUGUUGUAAGUCUGAGGGCUGCCUGUAUAUGAAGACCCUGAUGGGGGUGGAGGAUGUUUGCCGGUUGUAGAGCCACUUACAGUUCUGGACAGACUCACGGAUUUGGACUUGAUUUGGCUUGGAACACGAACAAAUUAUUUACAAAAAAACAAAAAAAAUGUUUGUGUCCUGCAUCAGGAGUGCCCUGUGGCAGUGCAGGAACCUCCUGGUAUACAGCCACACUAAGCUCGAGCAAACAGAUUGCAUUCAAAUGUUUCUGAGUGAACUCCAGUCCUGCUACCGGAAAGCAGUGGAAGAGGACGGAGAGGUUAUAGCCAACUCCACCUGGAAAAAGAGACGUUUGGCACAGGCUGUUCACUUCCCUUCUUGGGGAGGUUUUGGACAGGGAGAUAGAAGAGGACAGCGAUGCAGCUGGAGCUGGAGACAGCGAGAAGGACAGCAACAGGAUCAGCAGCAGCAGAAGUGAUGGCGACAUCAACAGUGACAAGGACUGUGAAUGAAUUGAGAAUGUAAACCCCAGACUGGGGCCUGGAUGAAGGGACUGCAUUUGGGUUAGGGAAGGGAAGAGGGUGGGGGUACAGGGGAAAGGGUGCAUUUAUUGUAAUAGGUGCACAGGUUUCUUAAUAUGGUUCAAGAGGUGCGAUGGAAAACCUAUGGUAGAGGAUUUAUAUAUAUAUAUAUAAUAUAAAGCGGGAUUUAUAUUAUAUAUAUAUAUAUAUAUAAUGAUUUAUUUUUAAUUUUAAAAAAUCACUUCUAGGGGAAGAUCUUGGCUAUACACUAACUUUAUAAAAAUAGGAGACUCCUCCCUAGCUUGCUCUUGCAGUCAUAUGGCUGAGGGCAAGUGAAACUCCGGGGACAUCUGAACCCCAAGCUUCCAUGCUUGGGCCUGCACAUCGUAUGCCCGCCAAAGGAUUUGGAAACAGCCCCAGGUGGAGGUGGAGGAUGCUUGCUGGUAACAGGGCCACACAUGGUUCUUGAAUGACUAGUGGAUUUGGAAUUGAUUUGGCUUGGGACACACGAAAAAAAUCCUUAAAAAAACAUUUUAAAAAUCCCUGCUGGGAGGGGCUGAAAGAGCAGAAAGGGGGAUGAGCAGGCGAAGCUGUUCAGACAGGUUCCUCAUAUGUCAGCAAUAACCCCUUAAUAGGCUAGGAGAAAGGCAUCAAAUUGUCCCUUAAAGGACUGAAGUGCUUUUAGGCCUCCGUUGUUAAUGUGUUUAGAGAUAGUUUGAUUAAAUUGCAAAGCAUCUCUUCACUAGGUAGUUCGGUAGUCCACAAAUUGGAGAGGCUUCUCAACAAAAGAUGACUAAAUCCGGCUAGUGGUAGCACUUCAUUUAGGGCAGGGAUGUCAAAGAUAUGGUCCAUGGGCCAGGUCUGGCCUUCAGGGCCCUAUCAUCCAGCACCUGGUGCUUCCCCUGGGUCUCAAGUUGGCCCAUGUGCCACAUGCAGCAUAUGCCAGACUGGUCCCUUGCAUUGGGGGUGAGAUGCAAGCCAUACACAUGCCUGCCCCAGGUGGUCUGGGGCACCCGGUGCCUGUGCUAGGACAUGUUGCACACAGUAUCUGUGCAGAGCCAAUCUGGAACCCUCCCCUGACCCCCAUGCCAGAUCUAGUGCCCACUGCAUCAAUGCUGCCUGUUCCAGGACUAUGUUGCAUGUGGCACCUGCUCUGGCCAGUUGGGGAUGCACACUACACAUGACAUGCACUCCAGCAAGUCUGGGAUGGGUGUGGUAUGCAGCGCAGGUCUCAGGCUGGCUAGAGCAGACACUGCCUGCAGUGCAGUCCUGGACCGGCCGGGGCAGGUACCAUGGGUAUUAAAUCCACCGUGCAGGAGGGGUUCUGUGGUCCCACACUCUUCAUGUAGCCCAUGGAUGCCAGAUGAGUUUGGCAUCCCUGAUUUAGGGUGUCUGCUCUACCUUUUAUUUGGUAUUGGGGCCCACCUUGCUGUACCAGUGACUGCCUACAUCUAACUAAAGGAUGGUGUUACUUUCUUUAUAGUAUCUCUACAUGUUUUCUAUAUAAGAUAGGGAAGAAGCACCAUUGCAGUUGGCAUCAAAGAAGUGACAGGACAUUUGUCAUUAUACCGAGUAGUUAGUCUUAUUAGACUGAGGCAGCCAGAAAGGCUUUGUUUGGAAUCCAUAGAUCUGUUGAAAUAAGGUUAGGGCAUUUUAAGAGGGAUGGGGAUGGGACUUAAGGAUAGGGGUGAGGGAUUUGAGAGAUGAAGUGUGGUUGUUUUUGAAAAUGUGGCUAAGGAAAAUCUAUAUUUUGUCCAUUUUAAAACAUUCAGAAAGACCAUUUCUUUGAACAGCUCUGUCACCUUCACCUUCUCCCUGCCAAGAAAGUGGUUGUCCCUCCCCCUCCCGCCAGUAGGAACACCACCUUGGGCAUCAUGGUGCUGCUUCCCGUGCCGGGUGAGCGUGGAGCAGAAGCAAGUUGGAGAAAGGACUUGCCAACAAAAUCUCAGAGCAGCCUACAAAAGAGACCAAAAUAAAUAAGCAAAAAGUUGUAAAUCCGUAAAAACAUCAGUUUGCAAAUGCUCAGUAGGGAAGUGCUAGAUCUCAACAGCUUAUUUUCCUGAAGAUUCUGUAUGUGCUUUGAUACCUGUGCAUGAGCUGGGGAAAAGGGAUUGAGCAGGUCUUCAAAUUCUGUUUCGAGUUGUUUUAGAGCUUGCAAGGUCAAGGCACAAACCCAGGCACUGAGAACAGGGAGUUCUCCUCCCUACACCAGGAAGCAAACCCCAGAGGAGGGCUAGGUAACCCCUGGCACUUACCCAGAGCAUGGCAUGUAAAAGCAUUUUGCUUGGCAUUUUGCAUGGCAUGGAUGCCUCAGGGCAGAUGGUGGGAGAGCCGUGAGGGCCCAGUCCUUGUGAAAGCGCUGCCCUGGCUCCUUCCUUCUGCCUCGAGGCACACGUGCACCCGCCACUGGCAAUGAGCCAGGCCAGGGCUCCAAAUAUGCAGCACGGAGAACCUUUUCACAUGCGCUGCAUGCAUCUUGCAGUGCCUCAAAAACGUAUGAGGCUCUGCAAAGCACAUGUUCCCACUCAUCUGGAUGUGCCUUAUUAGUUCAAAGGGCAGCAGUAAGUGUGAAAGUACUAGAAGUUCCUGCUUGUUAAAAUUCGGGACUUUCUGGUUUUCCUAACUCUUGAGUGCUUGACUUUGCAACCUCAACAAUCUAAAAAACCUAUUUUAAAUGUAAUGUGUUCCGUUAUAAAAGAUUCUUGUGAGCUGUCUUUUUCCUCCUUCCUCCCCAAAAGAUGCAGACCUUUUUGUUUGGUAGAGAGAGAAAGCUAACAUGCUUUCGCUAGAGAAGUGCUUCUUCUUUGUCCCAUAAAAUUUCUGGCCAUGCCUAUUUGAUUCAUGAAUGCUAAAAACACCACAUUUCCUCCUGUUGCUUGGAUUCACAAGGGUAACUUUAGUAGAUGCCAAAAUAACUGAAGUGAACAAUAAAGAGCCAAAUCCUACUUGGUGUUAAGGUAAGUUGCAUGUUGUGGUAAGAGGGGAAAGCCACUGCAUUCUUCCACUGCACCUCUUACAUCUAUGUUCUCAACCUGUCCUCCCACUGAGGGGCACAUGGAGCAGGAUCUCCCCCAAGUCCUGUGGGGAGAGGCUCUUCCUAGUUUUGCCCCAGACUUGAUGUUGUUGCCAGUGAUCCAUCAUUCUCUCUUGCCAUUAACUAGUGUAAGUAGUGCUACAAGGAGAAGCCUGUACUGAUUUUAAUUGGAGUUAAGUACCUUUGAAAAUCCCACUAGGCCUGUAUCAGAAUCUGGAGGUGCUUAAAUACCUUUAAAAAUCUGACUGUGAUGUUUAUCUCCCUACAGCACUAUUCCAGGAAUAAUGACUUGUGUCAGUGCUAAUAGGGGGUAGUACACCAACUAGGUUGCUCAGAAAAAGUAAGGUGAAGAUGUUACUUAGCAACAAGGAUCUUCAAACAGAACUCCGCUCCAAAUUGUGAAGGAAAAUGACUAAAUCAAAAAAUGUAAAAACAAAAGGCUGGUGCAAUGACUGGUGGUGAUGGUAACAUAUUGGAGAAAGGAAAAAAGCAAGCUUUGGGAAUCUUUCAGAAAGUAGUUUCCAGAAAAAUUGAAGCAAAACUAGAAAUAAAAAGAGGUCAAUAAAGGCAGUAAUUAAAACUACGUAGCUAAUGAUUGUGAAAGGAAAAUGAAAGGAACACGUAGAUCCGGGGCAGAGAAACCAAACAGUGAAAAAAGCUGAACACAAAGGAAUAUAAAAAUUAAGAGGGAAUUUCCAGGUCUGUGUCUAAUUAUUGUCCUAGACUAAACAUGUUUUCCAACAUUAUACUGAGCUAAAUCUAAAGCCUGCUAAAAUCAAUGGAGAAACUCAGACAUCAACAGGCUUUGAAUAAGACCCAGAGUUUCUCACCAAAGGCACCAAGUGAUUUUCAAAUACAAAUUAAACCACAUAAUGUACACUGGAAUACUAUUAUUAGAAUAUUUUAUAGUUGAGGAAAUUUGAGACAUAAAGGACUGAAGAGUGACUUGAAUGGCAAUACUAGAAAGUAAUAUUAUGUAGAAGCUUGUGUUUUUUAUAGAUAUUCAAAAUUGGUCACCUAAACUAGAACUCCUAAUUGGCAUUUACAAACCAAGAAUACUUGGCAGUCUUCAAUACUGAUGUGAGUGCAGAAAUGUGAAAGGGGAGCUGAGAUUUUGGUUGUAAUUACAAUACACAAAUACCAGUAGAAAAGAUUAAAAUGCUAACACUAGCUUUUGGAAAGUUAUGUUAGGUGAAAAUCAGUAUGCCUUUUUCAGUGGCAAAUCAGAUUUUUCUUGGAAGUCAUGGGUUUGUGAUUAUGUUAAUUAGUAAUUGAUUUAACAAUGAACAUUUUGAGGCACAAAUAUUCUAAAAAGUUAGUAUUUAUGGAUUCCAUAUAUAACAAUCAGAUAAAUCAAUCAAUUUAGAACAAACAAUAAAAAAGAUCAUGUAAAAUGUU